rnacentral:rRNA from 1 species
UACAGAGGUCCCAAGCGUUAUUCGGAUUCACUGGGCGUAAAGGGUGCGCAGGCGGUUGUGUGUGUCAGGUGUGAAAGCCCGGGGCUUAACCCCGGAAUUGCGCCUGAAACUACAUGACUAGAGCAUUGGAGAGGGUAGCGGAAUUCACGGUGUAGCAGUGAAAUGCGUAGAUAUCGUGAGGAACACCAGAGGCGAAGGCGGCUACCUGGACAAUUGCUGACGCUCAGGCACGAAAGCGUGGGGAGCAAAAGGG